CACAUGCAAGUCGAGCGGUAACAGAGAGUAGCUUGCUACUUUGCUGACGAGCGGCGGACGGGUGAGUAAUGCUUGGGAAUAUGCCUUUGAGUGGGGGACAACAGUUGGAAACGACUGCUAAUACCGCAUAAUGUCUACGGACCAAAGGGGGGGAUUCUUCGGAACCUCUCGCUCAUAGAUUAGCCCAAGUGAGAUUAGCUAGUUGGUAAGGUAAUGGCUUACCAAGGCGACGAUCUCUAGCUGGUUUGAGAGGAUGAUCAGCCACACUGGGACUGAGACACGGCCCAGACUCCUACGGGAGGCAGCAGUGGGGAAUAUUGCACAAUGGGCGAAAGCCUGAUGCAGCCAUGCCGCGUGUGUGAAGAAGGCCUUCGGGUUGUAAAGCACUUUCAGUUGUGAGGAAAGGGAUGUAGUUAAUAACUGCAUUCUGUGACGUUAGCAACAGAAGAAGCACCGGCUAACUCCGUGCCAGCAGCCGCGGUAAUACGGAGGGUGCGAGCGUUAAUCGGAAUUACUGGGCGUAAAGCGUGCGUAGGCGGUUUGUUAAGCAAGAUGUGAAAGCCCCGGGCUCAACCUGGGAACUGCAUUUUGAACUGGCAGGCUAGAGUAUUGUAGAGGGUGGUGGAAUUUCCAGUGUAGCGGUGAAAUGCGUAGAGAUUGGAAGGAACAUCAGUGGCGAAGGCGGCCACCUGGACAAAUACUGACGCUGAGGCACGAAAGCGUGGGGAGCAAACAGGAUUAGAUACCCUGGUAGUCCACGCCGUAAACGAUGUCAACUAGCUGUCUGUAGACUUGAUCUGUGGGUAGCGCAGCUAACGCGAUAAGUUGACCGCCUGGGGAGUACGGCCGCAAGGUUAAAACUCAAAUGAAUUGACGGGAGCCCGCACAAGCGGUGGAGCAUGUGGUUUAAUUCG
rnacentral:rRNA from 1 species